GUUUAGCUGAAAGCAUCUUGCUUGGAUUCUUCCAACCACUGGAUGGAGUUUUGUUCUUGUCGCCCAGGCUGGAGUGCAAUGGCGCGAUUUUGGCUCACCACAACCUCCGUCUCCCGGGUUCAAGCAAUUCUCCUACCUCAGCAUCCCGAGUCGCUGGGAUCACAGGCACACGCCACCACGCCCGGCUAAUUUUGUAUUUUUAGUAGAGAUGAGUUUCUCCAUGUUGGUCAGGCUGGUCUCGAACUCCCAACCUCAGGUGAUCCGCCUGCCUCGGCCAAUGUUUUUGACUCAUUUCAUACUGAGAAAUUGCCCUCUGGAAUAUAAUUUAUAUUUUUGUGUAAGCAUACAAGUGCUUUCCUUCACACACACUUGGCUCUCCAGUUUAUUUAUUUAUUAAUUUCUUUUUAAGUGAAUUUUCUUGAGUUUUCCAGGAAAGUGAGCAUACAAUCUACAAAUAAUAAUAAUCUUUGGCUU